rnacentral:rRNA from 1 species
AGAGUUUGAUCCUGGCUCAGGAUAAACGUUGGCGGUGUGCUUUAUGCAUGCAAGUCGUACGAGGCUAUAGUUUUCGGAUUAUAGUUUAGUGGCAAAUGGCUGAGUAAUACAUAGGUAACCUGCCUGUGAGUGGUGGAUAACUUGCUGAAAGGCAAGCUAAUACAGCAUGUGGUGAACAAGGAUUUCUUGUUUAUCAAAGCCUUCAGGCGCUCGCAGAGGGGCCUAUGCCUGAUUAGCUAGUUGGUGAGGUAACGGCUCACCAAGGCUUUGAUCAGUAGCUGGUCUGAGAGGAUGGUCAGCCAGAUGGGGACUGAGAUACGGCCCCAACUCCUACGGGAGGCAGCAGCAAGGAAUAUUGGGCAAUGGGCGAAAGCCUGACCCAGCGACACCGCGUGAGGGAUUAAGGCCUUCGGGUUGUAAACCUCUUUUCUCGAGGAAGAAGCUCUGACGGUACUCGAGGAAUAAGCCACGGCUAACUACGUGCCAGCAGCCGCGGUAAUACGUAGGUGGCAAACGUUGUCCGGAUUUAUUGGGCGUAAGAGAGUGUAGGCGGCUUAUUAAGUCAAGUGUUAAAUCUUCUGACUCAAUCAGGAGCUGCAUUUGAUACUGGUAGGCUUGAGUGCAGCAGAGGAAAACGGAAUUCCCAGUGUAGCGGUGAAAUGCGUUGAUAUUGGGAAGAACACCAGAGGCGAAGGCGGUUUUCCAGGCUGUGUCUGACGCUGAGACUCGAAAGCGUGGGGAGCGAAGCGGAUUAGAUACCCGCGUAGUCCACGCCUUAAACGGUGGACAUUAGGUAUGGGAAGUAUCGACCCUUUCUGCCGUAGCUAACGCUUUAAAUGUCCCGCCUGGGGAGUACGGUCGCAAGGCUAAAACUCAAAGGAAUUGACGGGGGCCCGCACAAGCAGCGGAGCGUGUGGUUUAAUUCGAUGAUACACGAAGAACCUUACCAGGGUUUGACAUGUCAGAAGUAGGAAGCCGAAAGGUUUACGACCUGUAUCCAAUCAGGAACUGUCACAGGUGCUGCAUGGCUGUCGUCAGCUCGUGCCGUGAGGUGUUGGGUUAAGUCCCGCAACGAGCGCAACCCUUGUUCUAUGUUAAUUUCUCAUAGAAGACUGCCUUGUACAGCAAGGAGGAAGAGGAGGAUGACGUCAAGUCAGCAUGGCCUUUAUGCCCUGGGCUACACACACGCUACAAUGGGUAAUACAGAGGGUUGCCAAAGAGCGAUCUGGAGCUAAUCCCUUAAAAUUAUCCUCAGUUCAGAUUGUAGGCUGAAACCGCCUGCAUGAAGUCGGAGUUGCUAGUAAUCGCAGGUCAGCUAUACUGCGGUGAAUACGUUCUCGGACCUUGUACACACCGCCCGUCACGUCGUGGAAGUUGGAAACACCUGAAGUCAAUGUGUUAACUUGCUUAGGUAAGAAAUAGUUGUUGAAGGUGGAGCUGAUAACUGUGGCGAAGUCGUAACAAGGCA